rnacentral:rRNA from 1 species
UACGUAGGGUGCGAGCGUUGUCCGGAAUUAUUGGGCGUAAAGAGCUUGUAGGUGGUUUGUCGCGUCUGCUGUGAAAAUCCGAGGCUCAACCUCGGACUUGCGGUGGGUACGGGCAGACUAGAGUGAUGUAGGGGAGACUGGAAUUCCUGGUGUAGCGGUGAAAUGCGCAGAUAUCAGGAGGAACACCGAUGGCGAAGGCAGGUCUCUGGGCAUUAACUGACGCUGAGGAGCGAAAGCAUGGGGAGCGAACAGG